UGCUCUUCUCUCAGAUCAAAUUUGUCCGAGGGGGUCCCUGGAGCGGCGGUCUCCGACGGUGUAAUGAUGACCAAGGACGAGUGUUUCACCCACUUCCCCACAGUUAUUUAUAUACAAGAAGGAACCUGCAAGUAAGUAUUUCGUUGGACGGCUCAAGCUGGAUACUCUUACGUUUAGUCUGCCUGCACUCAACGGUCUUCAGAGAACUCUCCAUGCAUGCAGAGUCCAAAACAAAGCCGUUCAGAAGUCCACUUUUCCCCGAUUUCGGCAGAUAGCAGGCCUAUUUAUCUACCCAUGAAGCAAGCCAAAUCGCCCUGAAGCUUGAAACACGUGCCCACAUUCCUCAAUUGGUGACAUAUGCUGCAGCCCUAUAUUCCUCAUGACUGUCAUGUCUGGCUGAAGGUCCUGUGGGCUCAGGGAAAUGUUUUUUUUUUAAGUUAAUCUAUUUUUAAGCGCUGCUGUAAUUAAAGUAAUCAACAUGUUAUAAAAAGAAAGGGUUUCCUAGUUUGUGAAUUAAUUAGUGAGUAGGUAGGUACCAUAAAUCAAUGGCUUCUUGGAAAUAAUUGUGUAUAUUACAGAUUAUGGGUAUAUGAUUGAUGUAUUUCACUGGGCUGAGGUAAUUUCUAAUCCUACCUGAAUGUAUUCCCAUGUGUAUCAGGGUCAAACCCUGCCUGUAUUCCCUCAAACACUUACGGUUAUUGCUGCAAGAAAGCAAUGUCAUGUGUAUGCUGCAAGAAAA